rnacentral:rRNA from 1 species
AUUGAACGCUGGCGGCAGGCCUCACACAUGCAAGUCGAACGAGUGGCGGACGGGUGAGUAAUGUCUGGGAAACUGCCUGAUGGAGGGGGAUAACUACUGGAAACGGUAGCUAAUACCGCAUACCAUCCGAUGUGCCCAGCUGGGAUUGGCUAGUUGGUGGGGUAACGGCUCACCAAGGCGACGAGCCCUAGCUGGUCUGAGAGGAUGACCUGAGACACUGCAACGGAGUCGCGGUCAAAGAUCGUCUGUGUGGCAUCAGAGGGGAAUAUUGCACAGUGGGCGCAAGCCUGAUGCAGCCCUGCGGCGUGUAUGAAGAAGGCCUUCGGGGUUUAAAGUACGUUCGGCGGGGAGGCGGUGCCCGGAGAAGAAGCACGUGCUAACUCCGUGCCAGCAGCCGCGGUAAUUC